GUGACUGGAAGCACGCACGGGCUUCAAAAAAAAAUCUGUUCUUAUCAGUUUAAUAUCUGAUACGUCCCCUAUCUGGGGACCAUAUAUUAAAUGGAUUUUUGGAACAGGGAGAUGGAAGAAGAGCUUGCUCUGUCCACUCCACGCAUCGACCUGGUAUUGCAGUACCUCCAGGACCGGUGCACCUCUC
rfam:Xenopus tropicalis strain Nigerian Chr08_contig_2603, whole genome shotgun sequence.